UCCUUGAUGGUGCAGUGAUUGGGACUCUGCACUCUCAAUGCAGGGGGCCCAGGUUCAAUCCCUGGUCAGGGAA